AGAAACACUCUGCUACAGAACAAGUGUCUUGGUUCACAGCAAAGAGGACAAAGAAAACAGCAAGUUUUAGGGGGUUGAAUCCUGGAUUCCCCUGGCAAACACCAUUCUACUUUCCGUCUCUAUGAAUUUGACUACUCGAAGUACCUCAUGUGAAAUGUUGGUGCCAAAUGAACUUUUCUGGUUCUUCUGAAUAUGCCACUGUUGCUGGAGAAAUGUCACUGCUAGAGAACAGAAGACUAUUAUUCCAAAGGGUAUUUGAGACUGACUGAAUCAGGUCUGGAACAUUAUUGAAAUGGUGGUGACCAGAUGGAUAUAAACGGGCUGUGGAAAAAGAGAAUGCAUGGCCAAAAAUGGUGGUGCUCUCUGUCCAAAAACUGAGGCCCUAUGACCAUGAAUGAAGCCAGAGGGCAGGUAGGAAUAGAUCAUUUGCUCCAGAAGAAGCUGGUUGCCAUGUCUUGAGGACAGUAAACCCUCUGGGGAGGUUCCUGUGGUAAGGAACAAGGGCUCCUGGCAAUAGCCUCUGAGUGAGCCACCUUGAAAAUGGAUUGUCCAGCCCCAGUCAAGCUUUCAGAUGACUGUAGCUCCUGCCAAUGUCUUCACCACAACCUCAUGAGAUCCCAAGCUACAACCACUCAGAACUUCAUCUUUUGGGAAGCACCAGGGAGAGCUGCCUGUGCCUGGCAGAAGCUGCCCAUGCCCCACUGAUACCCCACAGUACUUCCUGUUCUGCUUAGUACUCCUGCUUCUUUCUACAAACAACUGUGAUUCUCUACCUGGGAGCUUCCUCUGGCCACAGGAGCCUGCUCACCUGAUUGGGACACCCUAGCAGUACUGUGCUUCCUGGAAUCAUCUCCCUCAUCAAUCAUUUGUUCCUAAAUUCUGUCUGAGUCUGUUUCUGAGGAAACCCAACCUGAGUCAUCGUCCCUCUUCUCCCCUCCUCACAUUCUCUUCACUGGGGGAGGAUGGAUUGAGUUGACUGGCAAAUUCGGGAGAAGGAGUUUGCAUCGGAGUGCGUGACUCAGCUGAGGCUGGGCUCUGUUUCUUCAGAAUGAAGUGCAUUCAGAUUCGAUGUGUAUCCUGUCUCUGGGAAGCCCCAUGCUCUGCUCAUCUUAGCAUGAUUACUAAGGUACACUCUGCCCUUGCAAGGGGAAGGCCCGAGAUUUGCUGCUGGCAGGCUCAGUGGGAGUUGGAUGUUUUAUGUAACCUGAUUGUGGAUAUAGAUCAAUUCAUGCUUUUCAAUUCAGUCCUCUCUCUAAUAAACUGCUGUCAUAAGCCCCA
rnacentral:lncRNA from 1 species